AUUGAGCCGAUGAGUCCCAAAUAGGACGAAACGCGCGUUCUGGAU
rnacentral:hammerhead_ribozyme from 1 species